UACGUAGGGGGGCAAGCGUUGUCCGGAUUUAUUGGGCGUAAAGAGCGUGUAGGCGGCUAGGUAGGUCCGUUGUGAAAAACUCGAGGCUCAACCUCGAGACGUCGAUGGAAACCAUCUGGCUAGAGUCCGGAAGAGGAGAGUGGAAUUCCUGGUGUAGCGGUGAAAUGCGCAGAUAUCAGGAAGAACACCCGUGGCGAAGGCGGCUCUCUGGUACGUGACUGACGCUGAGACGCGAAAGCGUGGGAGCGAACAGG
rnacentral:rRNA from 1 species